AAUCCUAUUUUCUCAAAAGUGCCUCUUUUCUCAAAAUCCUUUUUACCAACAGCAGCGUCUUUCUCUCAAAACCCUUUUUCUCGAAAGGGCAAACAAUCUCACGCUACAACCUCAAAAGCCCUCUUUCUCUCAAAACCCUCGACUGCACCAUGACAACUGACCCGACCCGAUCCGGCCUCACUCCGGCGGUAGCUGUUCUCCGACGACACCAGCAUUCAGCGACACGGCCCGACCUCUCUCCGGCGAUUGUAUUUCUCCAGAGUUGGAUUUGUAUCUGUUGUCUCAAAAGUGGAAGGAACUAGUAGAGAAGGCUAAGGCUAAGCAACUUCAACCAGAUGAGUACAAUUCAGGGACUCUCACGUUAUCUAACUUGGGAAUGUUUGGUGUGGACUGAUUUGAUGUUAUUCUUCCUCCUGGCCAGACUUCAGGGUGCUAUAAUGGCUGUUGGAGCAUCAAGACCGAGUGUUGUAGCUAAUGCUGAUGGGUUCUUCAAUGUCAAAAAUAAGAUGCUGGUACUAUUUCCCUUGAUCUCUAGACUUUGAAAACAAAGAAAAACAGAAUAUGAUUCUUAAAUGACUGCGUCAUCCUUGUUGCUUCCUAGACGUGCAUACUCAAAAUGAUGGUGUUUUGAAGCAGAUAGCAGAUAUAGCUGGUUGCAUCCUUCGAUUAAUGAGUUUGGUUUAAUUCAAGUAAAACGAGAUUGAGAUUGGUCGAGCGAAGUUUUUAUGGAUCAUAUCUUAUCUAGAGAGAGAGAUUUUGAGAUUGAUCUUGAGAGCUGUAGUAGCACGAGUGGAGAAGUCAGAGGUACUAAUACUCAUUUGGACACGAAAGCAGGGAUGUAAUUUUCACUAGUGUCUGUAAUGGUGAUGUUGAAGAAUUAUUGAAAGCUGAAAAUGGAUCGAAUAUAAACAGCAAUAUAAAGGACGGCGAUGAGGUUACUUGGGGGAGUGUUAGAGUGUUUAUAGACAAGGCAAGUUUAGUAGAGAAGAAAACAAGCAAAGAAAAACGUUAAUCCACGAGUGCUAAGAAGCCUCCUAGACCUCCCAGAGGAUUGUCAUUGGAUGCUGCUGACCAGAAAUUGAUUAAAGAGAUUGCAGAACUCGCUGAGAUUCAACGAGCAUGGAUUGAGCGGAUGAUGACUUUGAAGGAAUUGAAAGUGGCUAAAGCAUCGUCAACAUCAUUAGCGUUGAAUGGCAGUUCCCUUGCUUUGCUCUUUACUGUUUUCUUCUUUUUUAGCUAUUUUUUAAAGGUAAAAAUCUUGAUUUGUUCCUUGCUAUUCGUUAAGAUAGAUUUUACUUUCCCAUGUUAAUGUAACUUGAUUUACAUGCCUCAUUCUUCAGCAUGUCAAGUCAUGUUAGUUGCAUUUCAUACCCUCAGUUAGUUUUUUUCUUUUGUGUUUCGUGCUUUUAAGUGACUACAUAUUGAUAUUACUUGAGUAAACAAUGAUAACGACGGCUUCAUACCUUACCGGCUUCAUACCUUACCACCAGUUCUUUAUAUGUAUUAAUGUUCGUUCGUGUCUCAGAACUUCUAUUUUAUUCUAUUGAUAUAGAUGCCAGUUCCCAUGAUAUGAGCAUCUUUAUGACAUUAGUAAGAUGCAAAAGUAUCAGUGGACAUGAUAUAUAUUCUUCAUUGAUAUCGUGUUCUCUUUCUUCUCCUUUUAGUUACUUCCCCCGUUUCCCGUACCGUUGAAUCUAGAUUUGUUUCAGGGUGCAAGUUUUCUGCUGAUUUGGUGAUUACAAUAUUGUAUGCUGGGAUUUCUUAUAGAAAUUCAGCUCUGAGCUUUUUCGAUUCUGUCCAAUAAGGCAGGGUACGGGAGAACAGGUUCUUGAUAGUACAGGACAACUCUAAUUUAUCAAUCCUCGCAGGAUCUGAGUAUGUACUACCCUAUAAAUCUAUAAUAAUCUGAAAAUGGUACUUUCCGUUGUGGACUUAUAGAUGUUUCUAGCCGGCUAAAUUUUCAUUUGCUUCUUAUUUUGUAGUAAAGUAGAGCAGGCUUCUGGUUUAACAAUUUUUGCUAAAUGUGGUGAAGGUGGCUUUGUUCUCCCUUGAUAAUUGCUAUAUGGGAUAUGUAGAUAAGAACUUACAUCCAAUUUUUAGCUAAUUCUUUGCCGUUCCAGUACCAAGCAUCCGUUCCUUGCAGCUCGAAAUUACUGAAAUACGAUAGUCUUUACAUGCAGAGUUCUAUGGGUAAUUCUGCAUCACAGGAGCAGAAGCAAUGUUUGCAGAUUUAGGCCAUUUUUCUAUGAAGUCUAUACAGCUGACAUUGAGGUGCCUACAUUCACUGCCGCGAUAGACACACAUCAAAAGCAGAUCACACAUGCCAUUUUAGAACAUGCUCGUCAGAUUUGCACCAGCAAAAAUUACUUUACUAUUAGAGCAAGAAAAACUAGAAGAAAUUAUCAAACUAAUGUUUAACCAGAUUAUAGGUGAAGGUGAUAAAACUAAGCUCCAGUGGUGUCUCUAGUGGAUCUUUUUCGGAUGUGAAUGGAAGAUCAUCCGGUGAUAGUUAUUCUAGCGAUGAUCAUUGAAAUUUGUAAUCGUAUUAGUAAUUAUGACAAUGUUAUUGAAUCGUUGCUGGAGCAGUAUUUUGUGUUUAAAUUAGUUUUUAAGACUAAUGAUAAUAUUUUUGUGGUAAAUGUUUAUGAUCUAAUAUAUUUUGAUUUUUGUUAUUA